rnacentral:rRNA from 1 species
UACAGAGGGGGCAAGCGUUGUUCGGAAUUACUGGGCGUAAAGGGCGCGUAGGCGGCACGGCAAGUCGGGAGUGAAAGCCCGGGGCUCAACCCCGGAGGGUCUCUCGAAACUGCCGAGCUAGAGUGCGGAAGAGGCAACCGGAAUUCCCAGUGUAGCGGUGAAAUGCGUAGAUAUUGGGAAGAACACCGGAGGCGAAGGCGGGUUGCUGGGCCGACACUGACGCUGAGGCGCGAAAGCCAGGGGAGCAAACGGG